CCAUGGGUUCGGAGAGAGUUUUUUUCUAAACUUAAGUCAACGCUUCUUUUUAAUUUUCAUAACUGCUUGGAACACUGGGAUUCACUCCUAAGACAGGUUUCAAACAUAAUUAGGCAACAACGUUGGACUAAAAGUCAUCGGACUUCAAAUGGAACAGCAAUUAGACAAUUUCAACAGGUUUCAAAACCUAAAAUGUCUCCAUAUAUUAUGGAUUCAAUAUCUAAAGUUGAACCAGUGCUUUCAGAAGAGCAGCUUCUUCUUGAAGUUGAGAAUGAACUACUAAAAUCAAAACCAUCUAUCAAUGUUCUUGCGAUUUUAAAUAGAAAUCUUUUUCAACCGAAAAUAUUUGAAAAACUCCCGAUUCGAUUGUCAAUGGCUCCCUGUUUAA
rnacentral:lncRNA from 1 species